rnacentral:lncRNA from 1 species
UAUUCUCUUCUGCCAAAGAUUCAAUGCAGGAAGGCAUGGAGAUAGAAUAUGGUAUGAUGGAUUGCACUAGUGGUGCCAGCAGUGGUAACGGUAUAGUUUGCAGAAGAUAAAUUUGACAGUUUCUAUUGUUCGCCUUUUUUUAAUGAUUGAAUGUUGUAACUAAGAAAAAAUAUUUCUGUAAUGUACUCACUACUCAGUGGCU